rnacentral:ncRNA from 1 species
CCGACUAAUAACACAAGGUCUUGGUCUUAAACCUCUUAUUUAUCUAAACUCUAUACUUAUACAUGCAAGCCUCAACACGACAGUGAAACAGCCCAUUAUAACCCUAACGGAGCCGGUAUCAGACUAACCGCCUAUAACACCAAGCAAUAAGCCACACCCCCACGGGCCAGCAGCAGUAGUUAAUAUUGGGCUAUAAGCGUAAGCUUGACCCAGUAACAGAGUUCUUCCCAGGGCCGGUAAAUCUCGUGCCAGCGACCGCGGUUAUACGACAGGCCCAAGAUAUAUACCCUCGGCGUAAAGCACGACUAAAACCCCAGAUUCCAUUAUUAAGGCUAAAGCCAAACCGGGCUGUAAAAAGCCAUAAGUUUCACUAAACAUUAAGCCAUAAUAUAUAAACAUCUUCAACUCGUGAAAGCCAGGACACAAACUAAGAUUAGAUACCUUACUAUGCCUGGCCAUAACAAGACAAUUAAAUAACUGAUUGUUCGCCAAAUAACUACGAGUAAAAACUUAAAAUUUAAAAGACUUGACGGUACUUCAUACCAACCUAGAGGAGCCUGUCUAAUAACCGAUAAUCCACGAUUAACCCAACCAACUCUGGCCCCCCCGUCUAUAUACCGCCGUCGCCAGCUUACCUUGUGAAAGAAACAAAGCAAGCCUAAUAAUACUCCAUUAACACGACAGGUCGAGGUGUAACUAAUGAGUUGGACCAAGAUGGGCUACAUUUUCUUAAUCAGAAAAUACGAACAGACUAUGAAACUAGAAACUGAAGGCGGAUUUAGCAGUAAGGUGGGAAUAAAUAACCCAACUGAAAUCAACGCAAUGAAGUGUGCACACACCGCCCGUCAUCCCUGUAAAUCAUAUAACCAUUAUAUAAGUAACCACACAUUAACCAAGCAGGGCAAGUCGUAACAUGGUAAGCGUACUGGAAAGUGUGCUUAG